rnacentral:rRNA from 1 species
CUGGCUCAGAACGAACGCUGGUGGCGUGUCUUAUACAUGCAAGUCGAGCGGUGCAGCAAUGCAUAGCGGCGAACGGGUGAGUAACGCGUAAGCAAUCUGCCCCCUGUUCGGGAAUAGCCGUGCCAACGCGCGGGUAAUACCGGAUAUAGUGGCCCUGGACAUCCGGGGUUGACAAAGGAUUUAUCGGCAGGGGAUGAGCUUGCGUCCGAUUAGCUAGUUGGCGGGCAACGGCCCACCAAGGCGACGAUCGGUAGCCGGCCUGAGAGGGUGAUCGGCCACAUUGGGACUGAGAUACGGCCCAGACUCCUACGGGAGGCAGCAGUAGGGAAUAUUGCACAAUGGGGGAAACCCUGAUGCAGCAACGCCACGUGUGGGAAGAAAGCAUUUCGGUGUGUAAACCACUGUCGUGAGGGAAUAAGGCUGAGUUUCGGCUCAGUUGAAUGUACCUCGAGAGGAAGCACCGGCAAACUUCGUGCCAGCAGCAGC